rnacentral:rRNA from 1 species
UGAACGCUGGCGGCGUGCUUAACACAUGCAAGUCGAACGAACCUUCGGGUUAGUGGCGGACGGGUGAGUAACGCGUGAGAAUCUGCCCUCAGGAGGGGGAUAACGGUUGGAAACGACCGCUAAUACCCCAUAUGCCUACUGGUGAAAUGAAUUUCGCCUGAGGAUGAGCUCGCGUCUGAUUAGCUAGUUGGUGAGGUAAUGGCUCACCAAGGCUUCGAUCAGUAGCUGGUCUGAGAGGAUGAUCAGCCACACUGGGACUGAGACACGGCCCAGACUCCUACGGGAGGCAGCAGUGGGGAAUUUUCCGCAAUGGGCGAAAGCCUGACGGAGCAACGCCGCGUGAGGGACGAAGGCCUCUGGGCUGUAAACCUCUUUUCUCAAGGAAGAAGAUAUGACGGUACUUGAGGAAUAAGCCACGGCUAAU